AAUGAACGCUGGCGGCGUGCCUAACACAUGCAAGUUGAGCGGUAAGGCCCCUUCGGGGGUACACGAGCAGCGAACGGGAGAGUAACGCGUGGGUAACCUACCCAGAAGUGGGGGAUAGCCUCGGGAAACCGGGGGUAAUACCGCAUGUACUUCAGUCGGCACAAGUCGACUGUUGAAAAGGCGGGGAUCUUCGGACCUGUCGCUUCUGGAUGGGCCCGCGUCCGAUUAGCUAGUUGGUAGGGUAAUGGCCUACCAAGGCUUCGAUCGGUAGCCGGCCUGAGAGGGUGAACGGCCUCAUUGGGACUGAGACACGGCCCAGACUCCUACGGGAGGCAGCAGUGGGGAAUUUUGGGCAAUGGGCGCAAGCCUGACCCAGCGACGCCGCGUGGAGGAUGAAGGCCUUCGGGUUGUAAACUCCUGUCAGGUGGGAAGAAAUGCCCGUCGGUUAAUACCCGGCGGAAGUUGACG
rnacentral:rRNA from 1 species